ACGGAAGGCAGCAGUGGGGAAUAUUGCACAAUGGGGGAAACCCUGAUGCAGCGACGCCGUGUGAGUGAAGAAGUAUUUCGGUAUGUAAAGCUCAAUCAGCAGGGAAGAAAAUGACGGUACCUGACUAAGAAGCCCCGGCUAACUACGUGCCAGCAGCCGCGGUAAUACGUAGGGGGCAAGCGUUAUCCGGAUUUACUGGGUGUAAAGGGAGCGUAGACGGCAAGGCAAGUCUGAAGUGAAAGCCCGGGGCUUAACCGCGGGACUGCUUUGGAAACUGUCUGGCUGGAGUGCCGGAGAGGUAAGCGGAAUUCCUAGUGUAGCGGUGAAAUGCGUAGAUAUUAGGAGGAACACCAGUGGCGAAGGCGGCUUACUGGACGGUAACUGACGUUGAGGCUCGAAAGCGUGGGGAGCAAACAGGAUUAGAUACCCUGGUA
rnacentral:rRNA from 1 species